UACAGAGGGUGCGAGCGUUAAUCGGAAUUACUGGGCGUAAAGCGCGCGUAGGCGGUUUUGCAAGUCGGGUGUGAAAUCCCCAAGCUUAACUUGGGAACUGCAUUCGAGACUGCAUGGCUAGAGUAUGGGAGAGAGAAGUGGAAUUUCCGGUGUAGCGGUGAAAUGACGUAGAUAUCGGAAGGAACAUCAGUGGCGAAAAGCGACUUCUUGGACCAAUACUGACG
rnacentral:rRNA from 1 species